UAAUUGUUGGAAACGGCAACUAAUACCGUAUACGCCCUACGGGGGAAAAAUUUAUUGCUAUUAGAUGAGCCUAUAUUAGAUUAGCUAGUUGGUGGAGUAAUAGCCUACCAAGGCAAUGAUCUAUAGCUGAUCUGAGAGGAUGAUCAGCCACACUGGAACUGAGAUACGGUCCAGACUCCUACGGGAGGCAGCAGUGGGGAAUAUUGGACAAUGGGCGAAAGCCUGAUCCAGCCAUGCCGCAUGAGUGAAGAAGGCCUUUGGGUUGUAAAGCUCUUUUAGUGAGGAAGAUAAUGACGGUACUCACAGAAGAAGUCCUGGCUAACUCCGUGCCAGCAGCCGCGGUAAUACGGAGAGGGCUAGCGUUAUUCGGAAUUAUUGGGCGUAAAGGGCGCGUAGGCUGGUUAAUAAGUUAAAAGUGAAAUCCCGAGGCUUAACCUUGGAAUUGCUUUUAAAACUAUUAAUCUAGAGAUUGAAAGAGGAUAGAGGAAUUCCUGAUGUAGAGGUAAAAUUCGUAAAUAUUAGGAGGAACACCAGUGGCGAAGGCGUCUAUCUGGUUCAAAUCUGACGC
rnacentral:rRNA from 1 species